rnacentral:rRNA from 1 species
UACGUAGGGGGCUAGCGUUGUCCGGAUUUAUUGGGCGUAAAGAGCGUGUAGGCGGCCAGGUAGGUCUGCUGUGAAAACUCGAGGCUCAACCUCGAGACGUCGGCGGAAACCAUCUGGCUAGAGUCCGGAAGAGGAGAGUGGAAUUCCUGGUGUAGCGGUGAAAUGCGCAGAUAUCAGGAAGAACACCCGUGGCGAAGGCGGCUCUCUGGGACGGUACUGACGCUGAGACGCGAAAGCGUGGUGAGCGAACAGG